rnacentral:rRNA from 1 species
GAUGAACGCUAGCGGCAGGCUUAAUACAUGCAAGUCGAGGGGGAUUAGCUGGGUAGCAAUACUCGGCUAUGAGACCGGCAAACGGGUGCGGAACACGUACGCAACCUUCCCAAAACUGGUGAAUAGCCCUCCGAAAGGAGGAUUAAUACACCGUAACAUAAUGAAAUGGCAUCAUUUUAUUAUUAUAGCUCCGGCGGUUUUGGAUGGGCGUGCGCCUGAUUAGGUAGUUGGCGGGGUAACGGCCCACCAAGCCUGCGAUCAGUAACUGGUGUGAGAGCACGACCAGUCACACGGGCACUGAGACACGGGCCCGACUCCUACGGGUGGCAG